rnacentral:rRNA from 1 species
UACGUAGGGGGCAAGCGUUGUCCGGAAUUAUUGGGCGUAAAGAGCGUGUAGGCGGCCAGAUAAGUCCGCUGUGAAAUCUCGAGGCUCAACUUCGAGCUGUCGGUGGAAACUAUCUGGCUAGAGUACGGAAGAGGCAAGUGGAAUUCCUGGUGUAGCGGUGGAAUGCGCAGAUAUCAGGAGGAACACCUAUAGCGAAGGCAGCUUGCUGGGACGUUACUGACGCUAAGGCGCGAAAGCGUGGGGAGCGAACAGG